rnacentral:misc_RNA from 1 species
CGAGUUGUAAUUGUUAGGUUUAGAAGUUGAGCUGGUUAAUCGACAUUAAUAUGUGCUUACUCUAAUCGAAACCAAGUCCACUACAUUACUUAACACUUGUGAAACUUAUUUCAUUACAAACAUUAUUAUUUGUUAUUUGACCGUUUGAUUAUUAAAAAGUGAAUA